rnacentral:sRNA from 1 species
GCUGUCAGGGUCAAAAGGUCUGAAUCCACAUGAGCUCGCUCAUCAGUGGAUGAAAAACCUUGAGACCCGCCCCGAUAUGAGCAUAAAAGUGAGAUGACCAUCUCAGGAUAUGCGAAUAGCGGGCAGAAUUGUGCGCGUGCGAAGCACAGAACAAUUCGCAG